GAACCCUUGGCGCAGCGGUAGCGCGUGUGAUUCCAGUCCACAAGGUCAUCCGUUCAAAUCGGGUAGGGUUCA